UCAAUGUUCGUCGCGGGCCACCGCGCCGCUGGAAAUUGCCUCCAGCGGAAGUAGCCACCAGAAAUGACUGUAAGAUACAACAAAAGAUUUGUUUCUAUCUCCCCAAUCCAAAUCUACCUUCCAUUUCAACUUGAAUCGGAGAAGAUGAAGUAGCGAUGGAAAAUCACUUGAUUAACAAGUACGAUCUUGGCUCUUUCCUUGAUGUCUACUUCUUAUUCUACUUAAUUCGUCCUCUUCCGAAUACUCUCCCUCCCCUGCUUUUUCUAUGGUGUUGCAACUCGUGGUUAUGGAUGUGAUGAGAGCAAAGCCUCAGAGACAUUAUGAGGAGUGCAAAUCGAACUUGCAGAAGAUUGAAGUUGCAGAAGAUGCAGAAUGAAGCUCGAAGUGAAGGAUCCUAGAAUGAAGCAGAGUGAAGAUGUUAUAUAGAGGAUGAGUAUGUAACCAACUCGGGCAGGCUUUAGGCAAUUCUGUUAGAGGCGUUAGGUCAGUUAGUCAUCAUAGGGGUUGUAGUUGGAAACAGGGCAUUUUGCUGACUUGUUCAAGGCUUGAGACCCCUGCUAAGGUGAUGAUCUGAGGGCGUAGAAGAUUUGUCUUGGGAUUGCAGGUCCACUAGGCUUGAGUUUAGUCAUGUCCAACUGGUUUGUGCAGCCAUGAUAUGCUCAGAAUUUGGCCUGGUGUGGUGCAUUGCCUUUGGUCAUGGAGGUCGUGGAUUUAUGGUGAUUGGUUUGAAUUAGAUGUAUCCAUGUAUGUGGUUUAUGUUAUGUAGAACAAGGUAUAGGCAUGUUGAUUGUAUGUCACUUGGUCGUAUGACUUGUAAAGGUUACAUAAUGAUUUAGACUCAUAUUGCAUUUUAAUGGUUGUAAGGCUUUUGUAAA